UACGUAGGGGGCAAGCGUUGUCCGGAUUUAUUGGGCGUAAAGAGCGUGUAGGUGGUCAGACAGGUCAGCUGUGAAAACUCGAGGCUCAACCUCGAGACGUCGGUUGAAACCGUCUGGCUAGAGUCCGGAAGAGGAGAGUGGAAUUCCCGGUGUAGCGGUGAAAUGCGCAGAUAUCGGGAAGAACACCCGUGGCGAAGGCGGCUCUCUGGGACGGUACUGACGCUGAGACGCGAAAGCGUGGGGAGCGAACAGG
rnacentral:rRNA from 1 species